AUUGAACGCUGGCGGCAGGCUUAACACAUGCAAGUCGAGCGAGCGGCGGACGGGUGAGUGAUGUCUGAGCAACUGACUGAUGGAGGGAGAUAACAACUGGAAACGGUAGCUAACACCGCAUAACAUAAGAUGUGCCCAGAUGGGAUUAGCGAGUAGGUGGGGUAAAGGCUCACCAAGGCGACGAUCCCUAGCUGGUCUGAGAGGAUGACCAGCCAAACUGGAACUGAGACACGGUCCAGACUCCUACGGGAGGCAGCAGUGGGGAAUAUUGCACAAUGGGCGCAAGCCUGAUGCAGCCAGGCCGCGUGUGUGAAGAAGGCCUUCGGGUUGUAAAGCACUGUCAGCGAGGAGGCGUUACUCGAAGAAGAAGCACCGGCUAACUCCGUGCCAGCAGCCGCGGUAAUAC
rnacentral:rRNA from 1 species